UACGGGGGGGGCAAGCGUUGUUCGGAAUUACUGGGCGUAAAGGGCUCGUAGGCGGCCAACUAAGUCAGACGUGAAAUCCCUCGGCUUAACCGGGGAACUGCAUCUGAUACUGGAUGGCUUGAGAUUGGGAGAGGGAUGCGGAAUUCCAGGUGUAGCGGUGAAAUGCGUAGAUAUCUGGAGGAACACCGGUGGCGAAAGCGGCUCACUGGACCAUAACUGACGCUGAGGCGCGAAAGCUAGGGGAGCAAACAGG
rnacentral:rRNA from 1 species